UAUUUAUACCUGUGUUUUCUGUCUGUCUGUUUCCAGUUUGUCUUGUUUGUUCAAGCCUGUCAGCGGUUUGGCUCAGCACCUGUUUGUACCUAGUCUAGCAUUUUCCUCGUCCUCCUGGUUGUUGACCUUUGCCUGUCCUGACCCUGUGCCCGCCCGACCACUGCCUGGCUCUGAGCCUGCCUGCCAUCCUGUACCUUUGCUCCACCUCUGGAUUACCGACCUCUGCCUGACCUGACCCUGAGCCUGCCUGCCGUCCUGUACCUUUGCUCCACCUCUGGAUUACCGACCUCUGCCUGACCUGACCCUGAGACUGCCGGCUGUCCUGUACCUUGGCCUCUUCUCUGGAUUGUCGACCCCUGCCUUGACUUGUUGUUUUCUUGCCCCUAUGGUCACAAACAUGGUUACUUCAGUCUGCACUUGGGUCUUACCUUGAUUCCUGAUAGAGGAGGUGCUUCCACAAUAAUGCGAUUUGUACCGCAUACAGUAUUGGAUUCUUCACACACCACAGUAAGAUAUUAUCCCAUUACGCUACCUUUUCAUGCUUUAAAAAAAUAAAAUAAUCUAUUAAUACACACUUUGCUUUUUAUACUUAUAAGACCACCAGGCUUGAUUGAGCUGUUUUGUCUUGUAGUAAUGUGGUGCGUGCCUGUAUUUCCUUUAAACCUUGUUAUUUUACAAAAACAUAUCCUGUUUUGUUAAGUAGGUGCCCAACAUAACAACAGGUGGUGUGUUGGACACAGUAGCCCAGAGCCUGUCUGCAUUCCUGAUUCUGUAAUGGUUAGCUUACCUGUGUCCUCUUGAUUGAAGCUCAGAACCACUUGUUUCGAACAUGGUCCAGUGUUAUCAGUUGCUGUGCUGGUCAAUGGACAGUUCGUUACCUCUGUCAAUAUAUGUAGCUUAAAGUAAGGUUUGUACUUGUACUUUUGCAGUCAAGAUGGCGACGCAACAAUAAUACCCAUUUACAAUAGGCCUAGAACUAAAAAUACAUACAGCCAAAUGAGAGAUGUAUACAUAAUUUGAAUAGCACGACAAUGAAGUCCAUUUUGCCUGUGACGAGUAUGAAUUAGGCUAUUUGAGGUUUGAAUCCUAACCAACCUGCCUACACAGUUUGAAGUAUAAUACUGACAUAGCUAUUGUAGGUCAAAGUGGAGUGCUGGUAGAGCAUGGAUGGAAUAGGCAUUGUGGUGGUCAUGUGAAUUUCCUUUUUCACCUUCAGACCAAUGCCUAUUCUCACUUAAUAUUUUUUGUUUUUAAUUUCCUGUUUUUUUUGUUACACUGGAAGAUGAUUAUGCAACAUUAUUAUACACCUUAGCACGUGCUCUCCUUAUGAACCUUCACAAUGUUGUGCAUUUUUAAUUUAGUGUAUUGAUAAGAUCCCAGCUCAUAAUCAAAUUGUCAAGGGCAAAGUAACAGACAGAAGCAAAUAUUUACUAUGCGAUUGAUUACACAAUGUGGCUUGCUAGAGGACUGCAGGAGUGCAAAAUAUGGAUGAGCUGUUCUCAAUGGAAGGGUUCUGAAAUAUUCUCUCUCACCGAGGUGUGAAUGUACUUUAUCAUAGUCAUCCACCUCGGUGGAAACGACUUGGGGCACACAAAGAGGACCGCCCUGGUGCGUCAGAUGCCAGCUGAUUUUGGAGGUAGUCCAUCCGAAUGUUCCUUGGGACAAUGGUGGUCUACUCUGACGUCACACAGUGGAGGAGUUGAAUGUUCCGGUGGGAGAAGGACAUCAAGUGCAUAGAGCUGGCCCGGCGCUCUGUCAACCAGCUGGUGUUUGCGUUUCUCUGUGACAGGCGCAUGCCCACAAUCUGCCACUUUGCCAUAAAUCACUGUGUCCCUGGGCAGUAUUGUAGGGAAGGGUUUCCCAAACUCAUUUCUAGGGGCCUGUCAUGCCAAAUAGUGUCCACCGGCCAAAUAGUGUCUCCCUCUGCUAGCAGGCUACUGUAACGGUUAUUGCAGCUUUCUGUUUGUAUGUAGCUUGCACUUCAAUGGCAUCCCUCGAGGAGAUAUUUUACCAUUCCAACCAGGCGAAAUGUUCUGAAGACACCACUGAUCUCGACAAGAGGCGCAACAUUCAGAGAAAAUCACAAUUCGGGGUAACGUUAAGCAGUUUUAUUAGAUAACUGGACGGCUUUAGCUAUGUACAACCAUUUUCCAUCUAACGUUAGCUAGUUGCUAGCUAUACAUAAUGUUCAGUGGAGGCUGCUGAGGGGAGGAUGGUUGAUAAUGUCUGGAAUGGAGUAAAUGGAAUCUAUCAAACACGUUGAUACCAUUCAAUUAACUCCAUUCCAGCCAUUAUUAUGAGUCGUCCUUCCCUCAGCAGCCUCCUCUGAUAUAGUUAUAUGUUGAGGUGUCUAGCUAUAAGUUAAACCUGAUCAAUCAAUCACUAGACAGCCACAGAGAUAGAGGGGGGGGGGAUUGAGAAAGGAUGAAAGAGAGAGGUGGGAAGAGGUUAGAAGACAGGCAGGGAGAGAGAAACAGAGAGGGAAAGACAGCAGUGUAAAUGUACUUAGACUUGAGUAUUUCAGCAUCUCUUCCAACUUGUUAGGUAAUCAUAUCUACCUACGGGGGAAGGAUGGCCAGCCACACAGGAGGGUGAUUUUUGUUAAGGAGGAGAAGGAGGCCGUGCUGACUGUGAUGCUUGCUGGCCAAUUCGGAGUGAAGCGCCUGAUUGCCAAAAUCAACCUACGCUUCUUCUGACAGGGAAUUGUCAAGUCAGUACCUGUCCAGCCUUCCAGAAGUUUUUGAGAGGGCGAAGACUGUGGCGCCGGAGUUGAAGCACAUCAAAGUUGUUUUACCAUGGCACAUGAUCGGGAUGGACCUCAUCGGCUCCUUCACGAAAUCCAGGAAAGGCAACAGCUGGUGUCUGACGGCGACCGAUCACUUUACCAAGUGGAUGGAGGCAAUACCCAUUAAGUUCAGUAAAGGAAGAGAACGUGCUUAACUCUAAAUACCCAUCUGCAACCCAUUAAAAAGGGUGCUUGGAACCAAAAAUAGAUUUUAGUUUUUUUAUGAUACAAAACUAGUGAGACCACCUCCAAGGAUAUGGUGGGCAUCUUCAACACCCACUAUUCUCCUGAGGUCAUCUUGAGUGUCCGAGGUCAGGUACGGAUUGUUAUAGGUUAUAUUCUGUCACCAAUGGUUUGUUUUGUUUAUUUUGUUACAAUCUGUUUUUGUUUUUCCAUGGUAGAUAAUCAGACAUAUUUCAAUAUCUUACAUUAUCAAUAGAUAUCACUUUCCUACCCCCCUCCUCCAGGUUUGGAGAAUGGACCAACCAGGCCAUUGUGAUUGACUUAGUGUUGUUUGUCUAUUGCUAUUUUUGCUUAACGGUCUUUCAGAUCACUGAAACCCCACCUGAUGUGAUGGAAGUUGUCGAAACCAGAUCAGGACGCCUUUGAGAAUUACCUUCAGGCACGGACUGAGAAGGAUGUGGAGGUGAGACUGAACAUGGACAAGGCGCAGGAAAAACAGAAGGAGAGCUACCGGAGCAGAGUCAAGAAUUGGACCAAGUGCUACGACAUCCGGGCAAAUGACACGAAAGGAAGGCAGAGACCUUGGAAACCUCGCUGCUCCUAGCUGUGGUCCCGAUCUGUUAAAGGUUACCUAGGGUUACCUAGGAAGCUAACUAUCUUCUGCAGUUGGACGGUCUACCACUGGAAGCAUUGACGCCCUACACUUAAGUGAAGCCCAAUUUACAAAGGAGGUUAAGCUUUGGUUGACAUUUGAGAAAGCAAGAAAUGGUUGUUAUACUAAGCUUACAAAAAUGUACCUCUUCAAUUUACCUCUCCAAAUGACUUUAGGACCAUCGACUGUCCGAGCCCCCCAGGAGGUAUCCCAUCUACCAGAACCAGUGAGUUCGGAUCAGUCUGAUUCUCUGUGCUCUGAGUCGGAGGGGGACUAGCUUGAGAGCUAGGGGUUUUGGCCAACACCCAGAUCCACCUGAUGUCCUCCAUUACCAACCAUUCUUUUCAUUACGUCAUCUACAGCUACGGUUAUCAUUAUCUGCUAAGAAAGCUGUCUUGCGCUAUCAUACUGGGCACAUAAUAUGUGAGAGACACAGAUGAACUAAGAACAUUAGCACUGCAAAUCCUCUGAACAAAGUGAACAGCAGUGCCUGGACUUUGCAGUCUCCUUCUUCAAGUCCCCCCUUCUGAGACUGGGUGCCUGUUGAGAACAAGUGACAGGCAGAAUCACAGCAACCACCUCCUAUAUUCCACACACCAGAAUGAUGUAUUUAGUCUAUGAUUGCCAUGUGAAAAUAAAUUAAUGACACAACUGUACCAAAAAAUAUCUGCGUUUCUGUGUUACAAUCUUAAAUUUUGACAGGUUGGUUUUCACAACAUGUUCAUUGCUGUAAGGUAUCCUUUGAUGGUAUUUAUUUGUUCCUCAUUAGUCAUUGAAUGUAGUAAAUCCUGCCGUAGGGAAAGCGUGCAUCUCACAGGUGAGGGAAACGACCUCUUCCUUGAGUUUGAGAGCUGAUCCCUCUUUUGUUCUAGCAAGACCUGUGCUCUUGGGGUAAUUCUCAAAAUGCAUUUAUUAAAAAAAAUUUAAAGGAAGUGUCAGGGAACAUUAUUUUUUUACAUGUAUCUAACCUUUGUGUAGUGACAGUCUCCAUAUAUACUGUACUUCCAUAAAUGUUUUAUACUGGUAUAAGGGGACUUUAUGUAUUAACCUAUCAAGAUCAAAUAUUGUAGUUGGGCAACAUAUGAGAUGUGAAUAUAAAACAUUUCAUUCUGAAGUCGGAGUGUACUUUCUCUUGAUUCAGCUCAAAUAACGGCGCCAUUGAUUUAAAGAAAUGUUAUGACAUUUUUUUACGUGGUUGCGUCAUAUUUCUUUGCAUACUUUCCAUUGAAGCUUGCAUCACUGCAUGCUUCAAAAUAUGUACAAACGGAGUUUGCAUUUUGAGAAGUGCCCUCCAUGCUCCAUUUCGCAUGCUUUCAUUUGGAAUCGUACUCCGAUCCUCCCGUGCUCCAAUUUUCGUUGUAUGCAUUUUGAGAAUUACCCAUCGACUUUGACAGACCAUUUAAAUUUCUUGAAUCCUUCCUUCCAAAAUGAUUUUGUUCAUUUACUCAAUAGGGAUUUCACGUUUAUUUAUCUUGCUUGGUUAAAAUACAAUACUCUAAAACAGUCGAUUUGUUGACUCAUUUAAUCACGUUAAAACCCAUUUCCUUUUCUUUUGACUGUGUGCUACUACAGGCGGCAACCUGAUCUCAUAGCAUUUCUUAUUAUUCUUUAUGGAUAUUUUUAUGUGUAAGUAUUCAUUUGUGGAUGUCCAUCCCUUUCACAUAAUAUGUUAUGAGUUACAAUUCAUAUGGUAUGUUACGAAUUGCAGUUGUAUGAUAUGUUAUGAACGCAAUACGUAGGAUAUGUUGCCAAUUCCAAUUUGUUGUAACUAACGUUAGCUAGGUGUCUAAUGCUAACGUUAGCUAGGCUAGGGGUUACGGUUAGGAGUGAGGUGAAAGGGUUAAGGUUAGGAGUUAUGUUCAAUGUUAGUGUUAGGGGAAGUGUUAGCUAACAUGCAAAGUAGCUAAAAAAGUAGUAAGUAGAUGCAAAGCUGGUAAUUGGACAAAAUGCUAGUUGUCCAUGAGAUUUGAACACUCAAUUUUUGGGUUGCUAGACAUUUGCUUAUACGACUAACCAACCUCAUUUUUGCAUGAAAGGAGAAUUUUCCUCUUUCUGAAGUCAAUCUAAAUGUUUUAUGUAAAUGAAAUGUUAUAGUCGGUUCCAGACACUUUUUCUGUGAUUUGGCUUGUUUUUGAUAAACUUACCCCAGCUUCAAUUCACUUUCUCAUUGCUCUUUGUACAGCAUCAGGGAAUGCAAAAGACAUGAUUAAACUCCAAAAAUACAUAAACACAUCCUUUUAGUAAUGGACAUGCUCUCUUUAUAGUGAAGUCUAGGUUGUGCCCUGAUACUAC